rnacentral:rRNA from 1 species
GAGCCAGCAUUAACACAUGAUUGUGUCAGCAUGGAAAAUGAAUCUGACUCCCGUCCAUCUCCGUUGGUUAGGUACUUCAGUAAUGAUGAAUAGAAACGGUUAGGGGCAUUUGUAUUUGGUCGCUAGAGGUGAAAUUCUUGGAUCGA